ACUUAAAUUGAAGAGUUUGAUCAUGGCUCAGAUUGAACGCUGGCGGCAGGCCUAACACAUGCAAGUCGAGCGGUAGCACAGAGAGCUUGCUCUCGGGUGACGAGCGGCGGACGGGUGAGUAAUGUCUGGGAAACUGCCUGAUGGAGGGGGAUAACUACUGGAAACGGUAGCUAAUACCGCAUAAUGUCGCAAGACCAAAGUGGGGGACCUUCGGGCCUCAUGCCAUCAGAUGUGCCCAGAUGGGAUUAGCUAGUAGGUGGGGUAAUGGCUCACCUAGGCGACGAUCCCUAGCUGGUCUGAGAGGAUGACCAGCCACACUGGAACUGAGACACGGUCCAGACUCCUACGGGAGGCAGCAGUGGGGAAUAUUGCACAAUGGGCGCAAGCCUGAUGCAGCCAUGCCGCGUGUGUGAAGAAGGCCUUCGGGUUGUAAAGCACUUUCAGCGGGGAGGAAGGCGUUAAGGUUAAUAACCUUGGCGAUUGACGUUACCCGCAGAAGAAGCACCGGCUAACUCCGUGCCAGCAGCCGCGGUAAUACGGAGGGUGCAAGCGUUAAUCGGAAUUACUGGGCGUAAAGCGCACGCAGGCGGUCUGUCAAGUCGGAUGUGAAAUCCCCGGGCUCAACCUGGGAACUGCAUUCGAAACUGGCAGGCUAGAGUCUUGUAGAGGGGGGUAGAAUUCCAGGUGUAGCGGUGAAAUGCGUAGAGAUCUGGAGGAAUACCGGUGGCGAAGGCGGCCCCCUGGACAAAGACUGACGCUCAGGUGCGAAAGCGUGGGGAGCAAACAGGAUUAGAUACCCUGGUAGUCCACGCCGUAAACGAUGUCGAUUUGGAGGUUGUGCCCUUGAGGCGUGGCUUCCGGAGCUAACGCGUUAAAUCGACCGCCUGGGGAGUACGGCCGCAAGGUUAAAACUCAAAUGAAUUGACGGGGGCCCGCACAAGCGGUGGAGCAUGUGGUUUAAUUCGAUGCAACGCGAAGAACCUUACCUGGUCUUGACAUCCACAGAACUUAGCAGAGAUGCUUUGGUGCCUUCGGGAACUGUGAGACAGGUGCUGCAUGGCUGUCGUCAGCUCGUGUUGUGAAAUGUUGGGUUAAGUCCCGCAACGAGCGCAACCCUUAUCCUUUGUUGCCAGCGGUUAGGCCGGGAACUCAAAGGAGACUGCCAGUGAUAAACUGGAGGAAGGUGGGGAUGACGUCAAGUCAUCAUGGCCCUUACGACCAGGGCUACACACGUGCUACAAUGGCAUAUACAAAGAGAAGCGACCUCGCGAGAGCAAGCGGACCUCAUAAAGUAUGUCGUAGUCCGGAUUGGAGUCUGCAACUCGACUCCAUGAAGUCGGAAUCGCUAGUAAUCGUAGAUCAGAAUGCUACGGUGAAUACGUUCCCGGGCCUUGUACACACCGCCCGUCACACCAUGGGAGUGGGUUGCAAAAGAAGUAGGUAGCUUAACCUUCGGGAGGGCGCUUACCACUUUGUGAUUCAUGACUGGGGUGAAGUCGUAACAAGGUAACCGUAGGGGAACCUGCGGUUGGAUCACCUCCUUACCUUAAAGAA
rnacentral:rRNA from 1 species